GAUGAACGCUGGCGGCGUGCCUAAUACAUGCAAGUCGAGCGAACAGACGAGGAGCUUGCUCCUCUGACGUUAGCGGCGGACGGGUGAGUAACACGUGGAUAACCUACCUAUAAGACUGGGAUAACUUCGGGAAACCGGAGCUAAUACCGGAUAAUAUAUUGAACCGCAUGGUUCAAUAGUGAAAGACGGUUUUGCUGUCACUUAUAGAUGGAUCCGCGCCGCAUUAGCUAGUUGGUAAGGUAACGGCUUACCAAGGCAACGAUGCGUAGCCGACCUGAGAGGGUGAUCGGCCACACUGGAACGGAGACACGGUCCAGACUCCUACGGGAGGCAGCAGUAGGGAAUCUUCCGCAAUGGGCGAAAGCCUGACGGAGCAACGCCGCGUGAGUGAUGAAGGUCUUCGGAUCGUAAAACUCUGUUAUUAGGGAAGAACAAAUGUGUAAGUAACUAUGCACGUCUUGACGGUACCUAAUCAGAAAGCAACGGCUAACUACGUG
rnacentral:rRNA from 1 species